rnacentral:lncRNA from 1 species
CCGACUUAGUGUUUGAAUCUAUGGAGUCAUGCACAUUGUCAAGCAACAUGGAAGAGGGCUUGACCUAGAGUCUAUAUAUUUAAUUUGGAAGUAGGUGACUUGAUUGAACAAAGAGACUUAAUUAAAAAUUAAAUUUUAGAUCAUACGGGAUUAAAUACUAGCUAUAUCCAGCUAGCACUAGAUAUGAGCUACAGGAUUAAUUCUGGAGAUGAACAUAAAUUAAUUUUUGAUUCAAGAAAUUUAAGAGAAUUGAGUU